rnacentral:rRNA from 1 species
GACGAACGCUGGCGGCGUGCCUAAUACAUGCAAGUUGAGCGAUGAAGAUUGGUGCUUGCACCAAUUUGAAGAGCAGCGAACGGGUGAGUAACGCGUGGGGAAUCUGCCUUUGAGCGGGGGACAACAUUUGGAAACGAAUGCUAAUACCGCAUAACAACUUUAAACAUAAGUUUUAAGUUUGAAAGAUGCAAUUGCAUCACUCAAAGAUGAUCCCGCGUUGUAUUAGCUAGUUGGUGAGGUAAAGGCUCACCAAGGCGAUGAUACAUAGCCGACCUGAGAGGGUGAUCGGCCACAUUGGGACUGGGACACGGCCCAAGCUCCUACGGGAGGCAGCAGUAGGGAAUCUUCGGCCAUGGACGAAAGUCUGACCGAGCAACGCCGCGUGAGUGAAGAAGGUUUUCGGAUCGUAAAACUCUGUUGGUAGAGAAGAACGUUGGUGAGAGUGGAAAGCUCAUCAAGUGACGGUAACUACCCAGAAAGGGACGGCUAACUACGUG